UAGGGAAUAUUGGACAAUGGGCGAAAGCCUGAUCCAGCCAUGCCGCGUGAGUGAUGAAUGCCUUCGGGUUAUAAAACUCUUUUCUGGGGGAAGAACAUCCGGGACAGGAAAUGGUCCCGGCUUGACGGUACCUCAGGAAUAAGGGACGGCUAACUCCGUGCCAGCAGCCGCGGUAAUACGGAGGUCCCGAGCGUUGUUCGGAAUUACUGGGCGUAAAGGGAGCGCAGGCGGACAGGUCAGUCUGAAGUGGAAAUCCGGGGCUCAACCUAGGACUUGCUUCGGAUACUGCUUGUCUUGAGUUCGUGAGGGGAAGAUGGAAUUCAGGGUGUAGCGGUGAAAUGCUCAGAUAUCCUGAGGAACACCGGUGGCGAAAGCGGUCUUCUGGCACGAAACUGACGCUGAGGCUCGAAAGCGUGGGGAGCAAACAG
rnacentral:rRNA from 1 species